UGAUCAACUAUUUCCGAUGCUAAGCAUCCCC
rnacentral:sRNA from 1 species